AUGCCGGCGCCGGCUCCAGCGGUGGCCGGCCCGGCCGCCUCGCCGGAGAGCAAGCAGCAGCAGCAGGGCCAGGGCCAGGGUGAGGGGCAGAUGGGCGCGGCGGCGGGGGCCAUCGUGCCGCUGCGGAGGCCGCGGGGGCGGCCGAUGGGGUCCAAGAACAAGCCCAAGCCGCCGAUAAUCAUCACCCGCGACAGCCCCGACGCGCUCCACUCGCACAUCCUGGAGGUGGCCCCCGGCGCCGACGUCGCGGCCUGCGUCGCCGAGUACGCGCGCCGCCGCGGCCGGGGCGUCUGCGUGCUGGGCGCGUCCGGCUCCGUCGUGGACGUCGUCGUGCGCGGCGCGGCCUCGGCGGCGCCCCUCCCGGGCCGCUUCGAGCUCCUCUCCAUGACCGGGACCGUGCUCCCGCCCCCGGCGCCGUCCGAGGCGUCGGGACUCGCCGUCAUGCUCUCCGCCGGGCAGGGCCAGGUCCUCGGCGGGUGCGUCGUGGGGCCGCUCGUCGCCGCCGGGCCCGUCACCCUCUUCGCCGCCACCUUCGCCAACGCCGUCUACGAGCGCCUGCCCCUCCAGGACGCCGCCGACGCCGACGUCAAGCCCGACCUCUCCGCCGCCCCCGACGCCUCGGUCCCGCAAGAAGUGCAAGCGCAGCAGCCACUGGCGAUCUCCCAGGCCAUGGCCAUGGGCGCGGGCUACCCUGACCACCGCUCACCCCAGUACCCGUGGGGAGGCCACCAGGGAGGCGGCAUCUGA
rnacentral:rRNA from 1 species